ACAUAGGAACUGUAAGUCACAUUUACAUUAAUGGGACAGAAACAACAAUAGAAUCAGUUGCAACCAUAUCACAUGGCCAAGUCACGGCAAGAAUAAAGAGUAGUUGAUAACUAGUCCAAAACCAUAAUGUUUUGAGCUGAACCAAAAAGACUUGUUUCCUAUGCCAAUCUCCACAAGCGAGUGAACACCAAAUUAUCUGCAAAAGUGAAUGUACAUGUUCAGUUACAUGAACAGAAGGAAGAUGCCAAUUGUGUAUGAAUAUAGAUGAUAAAUGACAAUAAGAUUGACAUGUUAACCUUUUUUGGAGCAAAUCUAGAUCUUCAGCGAAAAUCAUUUUUUUAAUGUUCACUUUCUCUACAUUAGUGCAUGACACAAAACUAACAAAGGUAAAUAAAUCCAAUUUGUCCAUAAGACUUGCAACUUUUGAUUACAAUUAUAGCAUACUAUUUUUUUUGCCUACAGAUAAUCAUCUCAAGUACGUACAACUGAAUGUAUGGGCAUGUAGGAUGUUUGACUAACAAAGCAUAUAGCAAUUCCCUAAAUAACAGCUAAGGUUUUGCUUUAUUAGACAUGAAAGAAUAGCAUGUGUUACAUGCAUGAAGAUAAGUGGGCUAUAGAAUUGGUGGCACAUAAGGAAACCACUUAACGAAGACACAUGCAGGUUUAAGCAUUAACUAAACAUGUUGGUUCAAAACUGCAUAAUCAAGAAAUAGUAAUGCAAAAGAUGGAUAGAAAUCUCACCGGACUGACGAGCAUUGUUCUUCCUGUCCAUCAGCAUUGCAUAUUCAAAUAUUAUAGAAAUCCAUGAGACUACAAGGAUGCAAAUGAGCGUAAAGUUGAAGAGCAUCCGAAUACAUGAAACUGCCCGCGGAGCCAAUAUAACCUUCUGCACCAAGCAGACAAUGAAACAAAAAUAGAAUGUACAUAAGAUAGAGAGAAGCGUGUGCAUGUGCGUGUGUGAAACCAGAACAUGCACAAAGAAGUUAUAGGUGGGCAGGAGAUAUAUCUACAUAAAAUUUAUUGUAUCUCUCUUGAUGGAAGUGUCAUGAGAAAUAGCCAUCACCUUGUUUAUUCAUUGAAGAGCCUGAUCUGCAGCUUUCUCAACAAUCACAUCUGACACCUCUAGAUUAGGAGGUGGUGGAAGAUGGCUGCAAACAACAUUACUUGUUAUUGCAACUUUCCAUAAUGAAGUACAGAACAAUGGCACGCACUAGUACAGUGAGGUGGAAUGAGUAAAACAUUAUAAGUUGUCCCCAUUAAGUUAAAAGAAACUCACACGGUGACCAAGUGCAACAAGCUCCUGAAGCUCUUUAUGGAUACAGUCCAUACUAAUAGAAAAUAUAAAGCACUUAAUACAAUUAACUACAGAAGCACAGUUGAAUCAUUUUACCAGAGCCGACAAAGUAUAUUUACAGGUUAUGGAGAAAAAUGACUUGCUAGCAAAAGAAAUAUCAAACUGCUAUGAAAACAUAACUGUAAAUUAUAGCAACAACUUUAGUAUUUACUUUGUAGAGAAGGGAACAUGUAGGUCGACCAUGAUAGCUAAUGUAUAGUAGACAAAGGUGAAUGAGCAAACCCUCUACAUAGUGAAGGGGUAAAUUAAACCUUGAACGCUCUCCCUCUCAUAAAUACUAAGCCAAAUUCCAGACUCCAUAGUGCUCAGAUCCAGUUUUGCAAAACCUCUGAAGUUUACGGGAUCCUACAUUGUAGCAAAUCUACUGAAUGACUUAGUUUGAACAAUCCACCAAACAAUUCAGCAGUAAGAUACCCUAGUCGAAGUGAUACAACAUUUGCAUGAACACAUUAUCCAAUUACUAUCCUAAAAUCACAUAGAAAAUAAUUGCAAUCUGCAAUCAUCCAGAGUAAAAAGUAGUCAAGAAACCUAUUUACAACAGGUAAAGCCAUCACAUGAAUAAC
rnacentral:lncRNA from 1 species